rnacentral:rRNA from 1 species
UACAGAGGGUGCGAGCGUUAAUCGGAAUUACUGGGCGUAAAGCGUGCGUAGACGGUUAUUUAAGUCGGGUGUGAAAGCCCCGGGCUCAACCUGGGAAUUGCAUUCGAGACUGAAUAGCUAGGGUACGGUAGAGGGAAGCGGAAUUUCCGGUGUAGCGGUGAAAUGCGUAGAUAUCGGGAAGAACACCCGUGGCGAAGGCGGUUCUCUGGGACGGUACUGACGCUGAGACGCGAAAGCGUGGGGAGCGAACAGG